GGGGCGGGGGUGACUUUGAGGCGGCGCCAUGUUGAGCAGGGUGCUGGGGCCGCGCUACGCCCAGCUGCUGCAGAACUGGACUCCCACCCUUGUCACGUGGGGUGGUGUAGCUGGUGCUGGCGUAAUAUGGAUCACAGACUGGAAGCUCGUCCUUCAGUAUGUGCCCUACAUCGGUGGCAAGUAUAAAAAUGAAGACUAAGCGUCCCUCUAACGUGUGCAUCAAACAGGUUAUUUGUUCCUCAGCGUAACCAAAGGAUGAAAGAAAUUUUUCAUGAAACUCAGCUGUGCUCGUAGUAUCUCAGGUGACUGUGGAAGUUUGUGGAGAAGUCAGCGGAAAAGCUCUCAGGAAAUUUAUUGCUGGAUCGAGUGUUUCGGAGCCAUCCGUCCGCUGAGACCUGCUUUGAGGUGAACUUGAAAUGCCUGGUACAGAUUCUGCAACGGGCUGUCACGUCCCGCUCUCUGCCGUGAGCAGUUGUGGCCGCUUGGUUGUGAGCGGAUUUUACUUCACGUACCAGCCUGCCCAGUGCUCUUCUCAUCACUUCCACAGCUGGUCUUGGCGUAAUGCAAGUAAUUUGUAAAGCUGAUGUACAAAAUAAACCAAGUGAAUGAUG